UUCCGGUUGAUCCUGCCGGAGGCGACCGCUUUUGGAGUUCGAUUAAGCCAUGCGAGUCGAGAGCUUUCGGAGCUCGGCAUACUGCUCAGUAACACGUGGAUAACCUGCCCUAUUGUCUGGGAUAACCUCGGGAAACUGAGAACAAUGCCGGAUAGCCCACAAUGCCUGGAACGGUUUGUGGGUGAAGAUAGGAUGGGUCUGCGGCGUAUCAGGUCGUAGGGGGUGUAAUGGACCUCCUAGCCAUCGACGCGUACGGGUGUCGGGAGACAUAGCCCGGAGAUGGAUUCUGAGACACGAAUCCAGACCCUAUGGGGUGCAGCAGGCGCGAAAACUUCACACUGCAGGAAACUGUGAUGAGGGAACUCCAAGUGCUAUCACCAUGUGGUAGCUUUUCUUAACUAUUAAUCGGUUUUGGAAUAAGGGCUGGGAAAGACCGGUGCCAGCCGCCGCGGUAAUACCGGCAGCUCAAGUGGUCGUCGCUUUUAUUGGGCCUAAAACGUCCGUAGCCUGUUUGGUAAAUCUGUGGGUAAAUCAACCAGCUUAACUGGUUGAAUUCUGCAGAGACUGCCAGACUAGGGACCGGGAGAGGUGUGGGGUACUCUAGGGGUAGGGGUAAAAUCCUGUCAUCCUUAGAGGACCACCAGUUGCGAAGGCGCCACACUGGAACGGAUCCGACGGUCAGGGACGAAGCCUAGGGGCACGAACCGGAUUAGAUACCCGGGUAGUCCUAGGUGUAAACGCUGUGAACUUGGUGUCGGGGAUCCGUAAUGGGUUCUCGGUGCCGGAGUGAAGAUGUUAAGUUCACUGCCUGGGGAGUACGGUCGCAAGGUUGAAACUUAAAGGAAUUGGCGGGGCAGCAC
rnacentral:rRNA from 1 species